ACAACUAGCACUACAAAAAAAAGGUUCUAUACCGAGAACACUAUACCGACAACAUGUCCUCGGUAUAGACAUUUCAUAUGCGCGGGACAUUUUCGCGGUUUUGAAUAGGUUUAGUUGCUAUACCGAGAAUCUAUACCGAGAACAUGUUCUCGGUAGAGGGUUUAUAAAUAUACCCCACAGCCGCAAAGCCCCUUCUCCUUCCUCUCUGGUUUCUCUCGGUUUUCUCCGAGCCGUCCGCCUCCCUCCGCCAUUUUCCUCCGUUUUCCUCCCAAAAAGCUCGGUUUUAAGCCUCAAAAUUGCCAAGGGUGAAGGGAUUUCUGUGUAUUUGUUGAAGGUUGGGUAUUCGGUUUUUGUUGGACUAAAGAGAUUGCUAGCAAGAUAUUGAAGGCAUUGGACACACACGUGGAUUAAUUUGACCGUCAGAUAUCCCAGCUGAUUGUGAACGAGCGCCUCCAAAUAAACGUGGACGCCAUAAAGGAUUGAACACGCGGGAAAAGAGGGAACAGUUGGGGCAUCCUCUCCCUCUCGAGUGGGAUGUGCGGGGGAGAACAUAUAAAGAGAUCGGAGAGUACAGCUCAAAUUUCUCAAGAGAGCUCGGAUUACUUGUUCGACAGUACCAAAUGCCUCGAAAGAAAGAAUACUUGCACAUUUGGAAAAACGUUCUGUGGUCAACAAGGAAAAUAGAAGGAAACUGAAAGAGCUUAGCUAUGGAGGUUCUCAGUCAAUCCAAGCCCUACGCUAUAAAAAGCGCAAUUUAGAGACUGGGCAACUUGAGUCCAUCCCGGAUAGCUAGAUGGAUACUCACCAUAAAUCAGGCACAGGGUGGGUGACAGAGACAGCCAAAAAUACUUGGGAGGAAUUGCGUGCAUACCGCGACACACAGCAGACACAGGCAACUGAUACUGAGAGUUCCACACCAGUUUCGAGUGCGCCUGAAGAUGAAGACAUAUCUUUGGUACAAACUGUCUUCGGAAACGACGGGGCCACCAGAAAGGAUAUGGACGUAUCCUUAACAUAAGGGGCCGAACUCCAUUUGAUUUUCGUCCUUCACAAACUAGAGAUGAAGAGUUGUCUGAGAUGAGAGAGCGUCUUCGACAGUUAGAGGAGCAUGUCCGGACUCAUUGUAUCACCCCGGGAUCUCAAUGUGCCCCACCACCACCCGAUGAUCCCGAUGUUGGAGCACCGACUCAGUAGGACUUAUGUAUGAAUUUUAUUACAAUUGACUAUUACAUUAUCAUGUUUAAGAAAAUUCUUUAUUUUGA